rnacentral:rRNA from 1 species
CCUACGGGUGGCUGCAGUGGGGAAUAUUGGGCAAUGGGCGCAAGCCUGACCCAGCAACGCCGCGUGAAGGAAGAAGGCUUUCGGGUUGUAAACUUCUUUUCUGAGGGACGAAGAAAGUGACGGUACCUCAGGAAUAAGCAAUGGCUAAAUACGUGCUAGCAGCCGCGGUAAUACGAGGGUGUCAAGCGUUAUCCGGAUUUAUUGGGUGUAAAGGGAGUGUAGGGGGGAAAGCGAGUCAGAUGUGAAAACUCAGGGCUCAACCCUGAGCCUGCAUUUGAAACUGUUGUUCUUGAUGGCUGGAGAGGCAAUCGGAAUUCCGUGUGUAGCGGUGAAAUGCGUAGAUAUACGGAGGAACACCAGUGGCGAAGGCGGAUUGCUGGACAGUAACUGACGCUGAGGCGCGAAAGCGUGGGGAGCAAACAGGAUUAGAUACCCUUGUAGUC